rnacentral:rRNA from 1 species
AACGAACGCUGGCGGCAGGCUUAACACAUGCAAGUCGAACGGUUGUAGCAAUACAGCAGUGGCAGACGGGUGAGUAACACGUGGGAACCUUCCUAGGGGUACGGAACAACUCAGGGAAACUUGAGCUAAUACCGUAUACGUCCGUGAGGAGAAAGAUUUAUCGCCCUUAGACGGGCCCGCGUAGGAUUAGGUAGUUGGUGGGGUAAUGGCCUACCAAGCCUACGAUCCUUAGCUGAUCUGAGAGGAUGAUCAGCCACACUGGGACUGAGUCACGGCCCAGACUCCUACGGGAGGCAGCAAGUGGGGAAUCUUGGACAAUGGGCGCAAGCCUGAUCCAGCCAU